GACGAACGCUGGCGGCGUGCUUAACACAUGCAAGUCGAACGGAAAGGCCCUGCUUGUGUGGGGUGCUCGAGUGGCGAACGGGUGAGUAACACGUGAGUAACCUGCCCUUGACUUUGGGAUAACUUCAGGAAACUGGGGCUAAUCCCGGAUAGGAGCUCCUGCUGCAUGGUGGGGGUUGGAAAGUUUCGGCGGGUGGGGAUGGACUCGCGGCUUAUCAGCUUGUUGGUGGGGUAGUGGAUUACCAAGGCAUUGACGGGUAGCCGGCCUGAGAGGGUGACCGGCCACAUUGGGACUGAGAUACGGCCCAGACUCCUACGGGAGGCAGCAGUGGGGAAUAUUGCACAAUGGGCGGAAGCCUGAUGCAGCAACGCCGCGUGCGGGAUGACGGCCUUCGGGUUGUAAACCGCUUUCGCCUGUGACGAAGCGUGAGUGACGGUAAUGGGUAAAGAAGCACCGGCUAACUACGUG
rnacentral:rRNA from 1 species